AAUUAAGUUGGAAAUGUUGAAGGAUCUCCUUAUUUUGGGCACCUUGGGGAUUUGGAGUUAAUGGUGCAACCGGCCAAUGAUU
rnacentral:ncRNA from 2 species